GUCUUUAGUUGCCAUCAUUAAGUUGGGCACUCUAGAGAGACUGCCAGGGAUAACCUGGAGGAAGGUGGGGAUGACGUCAAUUCAUCAUGCCCCUUAUGCUUAGGGCUACACACGUGCUACAAUGGGUGGUACAGAGGGUUGCCAAGCCGUAAGGUGGAGCUAAUCCCUUAAAGCUACUCUCAGUUCGGAUUGUAGGCUGAAACUCGCCUACAUGAAGCUGGAGUUACUAGUAAUCGCAGAUCAGAAUGCUGCGG
rnacentral:rRNA from 1 species